rnacentral:rRNA from 1 species
AUUGAACGCUAGCGGGAUGCUUUACACAUGCAAGUCGAGCGGCAGCGCGGACUUCGGUCUGGCGGCGAGUGGCGAACGGGUGAGUAAUGUAUCGGAACGUGCCCAGUAGCGGGGUAUAACUACGCGAAAGCGUAGCUAAUACCGCAUACGCCCUACGGGGGAAAGCAGGGGAUCGUAAGACCUUGCACUAUUUGAGCUGCCGAUAGCGGAUUAGCUAGGUGGUGAGGUAACGGCUCACCAAGGCGACGAUCCGUAGCUGGUUUGAGAGGACGACCAGCCACACUGGGACUGAGACACGGCCCAGACUCCUACGGGAGGCAGCAGUGGGGAAUGUUGGACAAUGGGGGCAACCCUGAUCCAGCCAUCCCGCGUGUGCGAUGAAGGCCUUCGGGUUGUAAAGCACUUUUGGCAGGAAAGAAACGUCGCGGGCUAAUACCCCGUGGAACUGACGGUACCUGCAGAAUAAGCACCGGCUAACUACGUG